GAUGAAGAACGCAGCGAAAUGCGAUAAGUAGUGUGAAUUGCAGAAUUCAGUGAAUCAUCGAAUCUUUGAACGCCCAUUGCGCCCCUUGGUAUUCCAUGGGGCAUGCCUGUUCGAGCGUCAUUUGUACCUUCAAGCUUUGCUUGGUGUUGGGUGUUUGUCUCGCCUUUGCGUGUAGACUCGCCUUAAAAUAAUUGGCAGCCGGCGUAUUGAUUUCGGAGCGCAGUACAUCUCGCGCUUUGCACUCAUAACGACAGCGUCCAAAAGUACAUUUUACACUCUUGACCUCGGAUCAGGUAGGGAUACCCGCUGAACUUAAGCAUAUCAAUAAGCGGAGGA
rnacentral:misc_RNA from 1 species